CCUACGGGUGGCUGCAGUGGGGAAUAUUGCACAAUGGGGGAAACCCUGAUGCAGCGACGCCGCGUGAGUGAAGAAGUAUUUCGGUAUGUAAAGCUCUAUCAGCAGGGAAGAAAAUGACGGUACCUGAUUAAGAAGCCCCGGCUAACUACGUGCCAGCAGCCGCGGUAAUACGUAGGGGGCAAGCGUUAUCCGGAUUUACUGGGUGUAAAGGGAGCGUAGACGGCAGCACAAGUCUGGAGUGAAAUGCCGGGGCUUAACCCCGGAACUGCUUUGGAAACUGUGCAGCUAGAGUACUGGAGAGGCAGACGGAAUUCCUAGUGUAGCGGUGAAAUGCGUAGAUAUUAGGAGGAACACCAGUGGCGAAGGCGGUCUGCUGGACAGCAACUGACGCUGAGGCGCGAAAGCGUGGGGAGCAAACAGGAUUAGAUACCCCAGUAGUC
rnacentral:rRNA from 1 species